UGUGUGGCUGUUCACCUUUGUGUUUUGCCUUUGCUGCUGCAGUUCUGUUUUUGACAAGAUGGAACCAGUAUCUCAGAAGCUUUUGUAGUACUUGAUGAGCCUGCAGUCCUUUCAUUCCAGUGAGGGAAGGGGAGAGGAGUAAACAAAGGAAGCUGCCUGCAUUGCUCUUGCUCCUGGCUAGAGGGGAGGCAGGAGAAAGUGUCCUGCUAGAAUAGGAACCGGGGGAAGGGGUAAGUCCCCCCCAGCUUGCCUUAAAUAGUGUCCCUGUCAGCCACUGGGCUGAAGGAAAGAAGAACUAUUUUAAAUUUGUUCUGAGCAAUGUUAACAGGAGCUGAAGAGAGACCCAUCACUUAUUUUGUGGCUGGAAGAAUGACAGAUGCAAUUGGGGCCAUGGAGGUUGAGAGGUAAAGUGAGAGCAACUAUGGAAGGAUCUUCAAGCUUCAUCAGAGGUUUCGUAACUGUCUAGAUCUCCAGACGCUAUUCAGAAUGAUGCUCCUGGAUGCAUUAAUCUGAUGUCAUUAUGACUCCGUGGUGCCAAGAAGCUGUUUUAUUAAGGAAACGGCAAGAGACCUUUUUAAUGGCCAGGCAAGAAGAGACAAGGAGGAGAGGAGCUGCCGAAUGAACAGCGCAAAUCAACUGAUUUUCAAUUAACAGCUCAAAUAAAAACGAAAUGCCUUUAGUACUCAGCCUCCAAAGCCCCAAUACUCUUAAAUAAGGCAAGUACCUGGCCAUUCUACAGAUUCAUUACAUCAACUUCAUUUUAAGCAAAACUGAAUCAUGCUUAUUUAACAAGCUCUUCUUCACAGCAGCAGUUUCUCUUCAGGAUUAGAAAGUUUAGAGAUAAGUUGCAUCCAUGAGGUUCAAACUGGGAUUCAUGCCUUCCAACCCCGGCUAUGUAUUGAUUGCAUAUGUACUAGUGUCAUGGUUAUUGAGCAAACUGCCCUGUAGAUCCUUUUUAGUCCCUCCCUUGGCAAAAUCAUGUGAUUCUACCCCUCAGGGGCUGCCUCCCAUAGAUCCAGCCAUAAUCUCCCACCUAUGUUACCAUGGCAGGCCCAGCUCAGUUAGCAUUUAUAAGGCCCCUCUAGGGUACUGUGACCAGUGAGUUGUUUGAAGUGACUCAAAGGCAGUGUCUUCAAAA